GUUCCUCCCCAAUUUCCUGUGGGUCUCCCCACAGCCCCCCUCCCACCUGCCGCAUUCUCUUUUCAGACACAGGACGGAUGCCCAGAACCCUCCGUCUCAGAGAUGCUGCAACUGCUGCUGCCCCCACUGUGGGCAGGUGCUCCAAAGAACCCAGACAUCAGUGUCUGUCUAGGGGAUGACACAGGUGGCUGUUAGUACAUUCACAAUGAUGUCCAACCAUCACAACUGUCUACUUCCAUCCAUCCAACAUCUUCAUCACCCCAAAGAGAAACCCUGUGCCAUGAAGCAGUCACUCUCCACGCUCCCCUCCCCCAGCCCCUGCAACCGCUACUCUACUUUCUGUUUCUAUGCAUUUGCCUAUUCUGGACGUUUCAUAUAAAUGGAAUUUUACAAAAUGUGGCCUUUCGUGUCUGGUUUCUUUCACUUCACAAAAUGUUUUCAAGGUUGACCCACAUAGAAUGUAUCAGUGAUUUUUUUCUUUUUUGUUUGAGUAAUAUCACAUUGUGUGGAUGUACCAGACUUUGUUCACACAUUGAUCAGUCGAUGGACAUUUGGGUCAUUUCCA
rnacentral:lncRNA from 1 species